AUCAAAAUCCAAAGAAAAACAUGUUCGGAUAACCACAGGGCAGCGAGUCUGAGAGAAAUCUUGGUCUGAGAGAUAAACAUCAAAUAAAUAAGGGAAAAAAAAAAACAUAUCAUUCACAAAAGAAAGACUUUUGACAAGUCAGUGGCGAAAAAGAGUAAAUGUGUGUGAUUCUAGUGCAGCUUCACAGAGGUAAGAAGACAUCAUUUUCUCUUAAAUUCAGCUAAAGUUGAUUAGCCUAAUUAUUUCCUUCAAUAAGAAAUCACAACCAUGUUUAACAAGUUGAUUUAGCACAAAUGUCACAAUCUUAAUCACACCAGAAGAUUUGAGUUCAUGAUGCGUAAGUAGAAAUUAUAGUGUAAUGUCAAAGCAAACACCUGUUUGGAUAAUCCACAGAGCAGCGAGUCCAAGAGAAAUCUAGGUUUUUCAUCUAUCUCAGCAGGCUUCGGCGAGUCGGCGACUGAGAAUGAUAAUCUCCGGUGGUUUACGACGGCGAAAGAUCCCGUCGAGCGAGAAAAAGAGCGCUUCUUCAUCAUCAGCAGUUCCCGGCGGUGAGACCUUUUCUCCAGCGAUCGACGAUUGAUUCGCGUUAAGAAAUUGCCGCCAUUCACAGACGCUUGUUUGGCCCAUUGGGCUUAAGCCCCACUCUUACUAGGGUUUAGGCGUCUUCACCAUUUUUUUUUUCUUUUUAUAACGAAAAAGUGUUUUUUUUUUGUUGUUGUUGGAGAAUGUCACAAAAGCAAAACCAUGGAGAAGAAAUCACAUUUUAUUAUAGAUGUUUUACAAAUUGAUAUGUUGAUUCAAUAUUGGUACAACAAGUAGACAACUACUCAAAAGUCAAAACUAUCUUGCUCCAGGAACCACCGAAGUAUCCAAGCUAAUAUUCAUUUCUUGAUAUUCCAUGCCUCGAGUCUUGCUCAUCCUCGAGUUUUCACACACAAGACACUCUUUUAGCUCGUUGAUUACCUGAGACAUGGUUGGUCGUUUCGAGGAAGAAGGGUCUGCGCAUGACAUUGCCAGCUCAAGUGCUCUCCACGCAGAAUUAGAGUCAUAAACCCCGCCAAGAGAUCACGGGCUGGUUUGUGAUCAUCUCCAAUAACACGAUCCCAUAACUGUAGACAUCACUCUUCGCAGCUAACCGACUUGUAGGGUAAUAUCUGCAAGACAAGAACAGGGUAUAUACUCUUUAACCAUUG